rnacentral:rRNA from 2 species
UGGGGAAUAUUGCGCAAUGGACGAAAGUCUGACGCAGCGACGCCGCGUGUGGGAUGAAGCUUUUCGGAGUGUAAACCACUGUUGCUCGGGACGAACAUCCCUUUUCGAGGGGACUGACGGUACCGAGUGAGGAAGCACCGGCUAACUCUGUGCCAGCAGCCGCGGUAAUACAGAGGGUGCGAGCGUUGUCCGGAAUCACUGGGCGUAAAGGGCGCGUAGGUGGCUUGGUAAGCGUGUGGUGAAAGCUCGGGGCUCAACCCCGAGUCGGCCAUGCGAACUGCCGAGCUUGAGCAUGGUAGAGGCAGGUGGAAUUCCGGGUGUAGCGGUGGAAUGCGUAGAUAUCCGGAAGAACACCGGUGGCGAAGGCGGCCUGCUGGGCCAUUGCUGACACUGAGGCGCGACAGCGUGGGGAGCAAACAGG